AUGGAGGAAAGCCGAUGGACAAGACACCUGAAGACAACCAUCUCACCACAUGCUAUCCACGAAUUCACAAGUCUAUGGGCGAUGGUGCAAGUAAUUACUCUAGGUGAUCAGCCGGACACAGUUUCUUGGAAGUGGACUUCCAAUGGUCAAUUCUCCACCGCGUCUGCAUACGCCAUUCAAUUUGAAGGCUCUCAGCGAUCAAUUUUCAAGCAACUCAUUUGGCAAUCAGACGCUACCCUGAAAUGCAAGACGUUCUCCUGGAUGGCUGCUCUGGGGAAAAUUCUUACUGCAGAUUGCCUAGCAAAGAGAGGUUGGCCACACAAUCCGAUUUGUCGGUUGUGCGGUGUACAACAGGAGACUGCGCCCCACUUACUGGCCGCCUGCCCCUUUGCUGUCGAGCUCUGGAACAUGGUGCUUCAGCGGUGUGUCCUGCCAAGCACGCUCGGACCGGCCACCACGACUUCUUCAUUGAUUCCAUGGUGGGAACGGAGCGAGGAGCAAGUGCCGAAGAUUCACCAGAAAGCUUGGAACUCACUCGUCCAAAUUGUUUGGUGGCACACUUGGAAGGAGAGGAACGCUCGCAUUUUCGACAACAAGACUUCAACAGUUGAUCAGGUGAUGUCCCGCAUCAAGGACGACAUCGAGCAAUGGACGGCGGCCGGCAAGACCAAGAUCGCAAUGCUGAUCCACAGACCCAGAGAG
rnacentral:rRNA from 1 species